AUGUCUAGAAGGCUGUGGUGCAAGGCCAUUUUUGUUGGUUCCAAGCAAGGUCUCUGGAACUAAAGAGAGCACACGGCUCUUAAGAUUGCAGGCGUUUAUGCCCAAGAUGAAACAGAGUUCUACUUAGGCAAGACAUGUGCUUGUGUGUAUGACUCAAAAAACAAAACAAAACAAACAACAACAACAAAAACCAAUACAGCGACUCCUGGAGGCAAACCAAACAAACCCAGAGUGAUCUGGAAAAAAGUACCUGGGCUCACAGAAACAGUAGAAUGGUUCUUGCCAAAUUCCAAAGCAACCUUCCUGCAGAGGCCAUUCACAGAAUCAGUUUGAUGCUGUAUCCAUCCCGGAU
rnacentral:lncRNA from 1 species